rnacentral:lncRNA from 1 species
CAUAGCCUUCGUGUGAAGGCCAGUGAAACAGCAGCUGAGCUAAUUCAUGAGGUAUUUGCCCUUCUGAAGUUGGAAUCUGUAAUGAUUUAAAACAUGAGACUGGUCCAGUGGGCUUGUUGCUCCAGACCUCAUGCCUUCUGGACCCAGACAUCUCUGCAAUCUCGGAACUGGAAUACACCACUUCUUGUCAAGGUACUAGCAAGUUGCCGUGGAUACAGAAAUCUCUGCAGGCAAGUUGCUCCAGAG